AGCUCCAAUAGCGUAUAUUAAAGUUGUUGCGGUUAAAAAGCUCGUAGUUGAACCUUGGGCCUGGCUGGCCGGUCCGCCUCACCGCGAGCACUGGUUCGGUUGGGUCUUUUCCUCUAGGGAACCGCAUGUUCUUUACUGGGCGUGUCGGGGAACUAGAACUUUUACUUUGAAAAAAUUAGAGUGUUCAAAGCAGGCCUAUGCUCGAAUACAUUAGCAUGGAAUAAUAGAAUAGGACGUGCGGUUCUAUUUUGUUGGUUUCUAGGACCGCCGUAAUGAUUAAAAGGGACAGUCGGGGGCAUCUGUAUUCAAUUGUCAGAGGUGAAAUUCUUGGAUUUAUUGAAGACAAACUACUGCGAAAGCAUUUGCCAAGGAUGUUUUCA
rnacentral:rRNA from 1 species